UACUUUUUCAUCUCUCUGAAAAUUAAAAGUUUUGAAGGUUUGGCAGGAGGUUCUGUGUAGUUCAGUAGAGGGAGGGAGCCCACGAUCAACUGGGAAACUUUAUAUACAUUAAUAAUCAAAAGGGAAAAGAAAAGUCUCAGGUUUCAAUCCCCUCUGAAUAUAUUUCUUCAUUUUCAUCCUCACAGAGGUGAUCCCAACCGAGACGAUGCUGGAAGGUUUUCAACAAGAUGAACAUGACAACCUCUGGCCGACAGCUUCCACCUUCAUCAUCCUCUUCUUCCUGAGUAUUUUCUACAGUGCCACGGUCACUCUAUUUAAGGUAAAAUGAGUUUAUUACCAUCAGCUUCACCGAUGUUCCUCAUCUGUUUGUGUUUAUCUUCAAUUUCCUGUGACAGAGUGUGUGAUGUCUUGUUUCACCCAAUGAACGCAUUCAUGGGAAGUAAACAUUGUAUUGUACAACUACAUGAAUUUUAGUGACUUUUCUUAUUGUUAGUCUAUGUUACAAUGUGCCUUUUGUUAAUAAUAUAUAACCUUGUUAUUUCAUGUACUGUCACACCUCUCUGAUAUUCUUUAUUUGCUGUUUACUAUUUGUGUGGUGUAAUGAUACAGAAAGACAGAGGCUGUUAUAUUUUGUCCUUUUAUUUCAUUCUGAAGAUGAGUAUUUGUGAUCCGAUCCUAUUCCAUAAUGCCUACAGAUUCUCUCUAUUUGUUUGCCCGAAGUAUCAAUAAAUGAUAAAAGUUA